GACGAACGCUGGCGGCGUGCUUAACACAUGCAAGUCGAACGGAAAGGCCCUGCUUUUGUGGGGUGCUCGAGUGGCGAACGGGUGAGUAACACGUGAGUAACCUGCCCUUGACUUUGGGAUAACUUCAGGAAACUGGGGCUAAUACCGGAUAGGAGCUCCUGCUGCAUGGUGGGGGUUGGAAAGUUUCGGCGGUUGGGGAUGGACUCGCGGCUUAUCAGCUUGUUGGUGGGGUAGUGGCUUACCAAGGCUUUGACGGGUAGCCGGCCUGAGAGGGUAACCGGCCACAUUGGGACUGAGAUACGGCCCAGACUCCUACGGGAGGCAGCAGUGGGGAAUAUUGCACAAUGGGCGGAAGCCUGAUGCAGCAACGCCGCGUGCGGGAUGACGGCCUUCGGGUUGUAAACCGCUUUCGCCUGUGACGAAGCGUGAGUGACGGUAAUGGGUAAAGAGGCACCGGCUAACUACGUG
rnacentral:rRNA from 1 species